rnacentral:rRNA from 1 species
CACGCCGUAAACGAUGAGUGCUAAGUGUUGGGGGGUUUCCGCCCCUCAGUGCUGCAGCUAACGCAUUAAGCACUCCGCCUGGGGAGUACGGUCGCAAGACUGAAACUCAAAGGAAUUGACGGGGGCCCGCACAAGCGGUGGAGCAUGUGGUUUAAUUCGAAGCAACGCGAAGAACCUUACCAGGUCUUGACAUCCCGGUGACCACUAUGGAGACAUAGUUUCCCCUUCGGGGGCAACGGUGACAGGUGG